rnacentral:rRNA from 1 species
AACGAACGCUGGCGGCAUGCCUAACACAUGCAAGUCGAACGAGACCUUCGGGUCUAGUGGCGCACGGGUGCGUAACGCGUGGGAAUCUGCCCUUGGGUGCGGAAUAACAGUUAGAAAUGACUGCCAAUACCGCAUAAUGACUCCGGUCCAAAGAUUUAUCGCCCAAGGAUGAGCCCGCGUCGGAUUAGCUAGUUGGUGAGGUAAAAGCUCACCAAGGCGACGAUCCGUAGCUGGUCUGAGAGGAUGAUCAGCCACACUGGGACUGAGACACGGCCCAGACUCCUACGGGAGGCAGCAGUGGGGAAUAUUGGACAAUGGGCGAAAGCCUGAUCCAGCUAUGCCGCGUGAGCGAUGAAGGCCUUAGGGUUGUAAAGCUCUUUUACCCGGGAUGAUAAUGACAGUACCGGGAGAAUAAGCCCCGGCUAACUCCGUGCCAGCAGCCGCAGUAACAC